GACAAAGGAGAAUUUAUCGUUAAGUCCUUAAAAUUAUUUGCGAUCAAAUGAUACGCUAUUACUAGGACGAUAGCGAUGUCAAAUGUAGGUCAUUGUGUGCCAUAUGAGUUGGUUGUCCUCUUAACCAAUGAGUAUGGAGAACUGUUAUGGCAUGCAGAUAGAAUGUAAGAGUACAUUCGCAUUGAAUGUGAUCAUGUAUCGAGCACUC
rnacentral:lncRNA from 1 species